rnacentral:lncRNA from 1 species
CGAGUCGACUUCAGAGCUUCUGACAACCACAACAAAUUAUUCUAUAAAAAAUAUAGAAACAUCUAGAAUUUGAUGUAAUGGUUAGUUUUGGUCUCCAAUGGACAAAAAUGCUAGUUCUGGAUUCAAACAGCAAUAAAUGACCAAAAACUUAUUUAAAAAUAUAAGAGAACCUAGGUGAACUAUAGAAAAAGCUAUUAAAAAGAAAAAGAAGC